rnacentral:pre_miRNA from 10 species
AUAAUUCACAACAUUAUUCUCCAAGAUGCAGACAAAUUGACAAGAUCUUGUUAAUUUGUCUGCAUCUUGGAGAAUAAUGUUGUGAAUUUUU